GUCUGACCUGCUCACUGAUAAUUUUAAAGAGCCGCGGUAUUUUGACCGUGCAAAGGUAGCAUAAUCAUUAGUCUCUUAAUUAGAGGCUGGAAUGAAUGGUUUGACGAGAAAUUAACUGUCUCUUAAUAAAUUUUAGAAUUUAACUUUUAAGUUAAAAGGCUUAAAUAUAUCUUUAGGACGAGAAGACCCUAUAGAGCUUGACAUUUUAUUUAAAUUUAAUUUUAAGUUUGUCUUUUUAAAUUUAAUGUUUAUGUUUUGUUGGGGUGACAUGAAGAAUUAAUAAACUCUUCAUUGAUAAAAUCAUUAAUUUAUGUUUAUUUUGAUCCAUAAUUUAUGAUCAUAAGAUUAAGUUACCUUAAGGAUAACAGCGUACUU
rnacentral:rRNA from 1 species